GCCUCACUCACAUUCCUGAGGCAAUCUGGUUCCAGCUGAACUCCUUGGGAACAGUCUGGGCUAUGUACCCCUGGGGCAUCUGCCCCAAUUAGCAUUGACCCUUGUGGGCCUCCUUGCUGGCUCUAGGUUGCUCCCAACCUCUUGAACUCUGGGUAAACCAGAUUGCUUUAAGAGCCUCCAAAGCUUUCCACAGCCCCAAGAUGAACUGGACAUCCAGGCUCACCAACAGAAAUUCAGUCACCCUGUAGCGCCCAAAUCAACAUGGCCUCCUCCAGGUUCUCUGAGCCAGAGGAGAGACCCAUGUGUUGGGAUUAUUGCUAUGACUAAGAAACAAGAGGAAAGAAGGCUCAAAGAGUGCUUUGCCAGGCUAAACUCAGUAGUAUGUGGAAAGAGUACACAGGUCUAAAGCCUCACAGAACUAGCACUUCCAGGAACUGUGGGGUUGACAGAAGGGAUAUGCAACAGGUUCUGCAUCCUUGAGGAUCUCACUGCAAGAACAGCACAGAAAGAGCAUGACCCAACUCAAGAGGAGUCUAGACAUCGAGUUGCACAAGACUGAGUGUGCACAAUGGGAUUGGAGAGAAGUAACGGCAUGGGCUGCCAUGAUCAGGGAAAGCUGCACAGAAGUGUUGGGUUUGAAUGGUACAGGAUCUAUUUGCCAGAACAAUUUUUUUGAAGACCCAGGCUCUCAUCAUUUCAAGACAAGGGGUCCCUGGAUCAAAAUAGAACCAAAAGUUUCAUUUGGCAUCAAUCAACCUUAUCAGCAGAGUCCAGGGAUUAUCAGCAGAGACCGGGGCUUUUAUCAAGACACAGAGCACAAGUAAAUCCUAUAAUCUAAAUUUGCAACAUUUAUGACCUGGAAAGCAGCCCCAGGUAGGCAAAAACAACUGACCUUUUUCUACUCCUCCAAAACACCUGCUUGGUACUGCCUCGUCUCCCACAACACUUCUCGACAGUGGUGAUCUUGAAAUGUUUAUGCUUAAGUCGUGUCUUCCAAAUUAGCCUCUAAGUUACUUUAGGGCAAGAGCCAUGUCUUCGUGUGUCCUGCCCAGUGUUAGGACUGGAUCCUCAGGAAAUACCUAUUGAAUAAACUUAGAUCUUUUCACAUCCUUUCAAUUCUGUCAACCCACAUAAGGCUGGCUAACAGCAAAGCUGUGGGGGAACUUAGCCUACAUUCUUCAAUCCAGAAUCCCUGAACACAGCUAGCAUGGUUCAAGAUUAAUAAGUACACUGGACAGUUCUUUGGAGCCCCGUGAUAUUAUUGGAAUGCUUUUACUUUGAGAUCUUGACCUCCUAAUGUUAACAGAGCUUAGGUGGUAACCUAAAAUCACUGGAAAGAUAUCACUCUGGAAAAAUGAGUAAAUGACAACAAAUCAACCUUGCAACAUCUCUGGAUAAUUGCUAUCUACUCUGUCUAAUUAUUCCUACAAAAGGUAACUUGUCUUUCUUACAUUUCUGAAAUGUGGCCUGAGGUACCUCAGGUAGUAGUUACCCACUGGCUGGUCAACUGUGCAGAUAUGGAAAACAUAUUUGGCUAUAUUUCAGUGAGGCAAUAAAAGACACUACUUAAUUUCAAACUUUUUAUUAAUUAUGUCUUAUCAGUCCCUUUCUCCAGAAGAUACCGAUAUGAUUCUUCAGUUCAGUUCAGACAUCCUAACUUUCCAUUUUACAUUAAAUGGGACAUUUUAAUAUAUAAGCUUUUGGAAAUAAUUAGAAUUCACAUGUAGAUUUUUUUGUAAUCAGAAUUUUUAAAAUUACAGUAUAUAAUUACAAUGUACUAUAAGAAAUUGUCAAGUGGAUAACCUUGUUGCACUGAAAUGUUUUUGCUGUAAACAAGUCUCUCCUUUAGUGGAAUAUUUGUCAGUGCAUGUAUUCAAAGAAGCGCUCUCAAGGCAUGUGCUCAGAAGUUAGGAAAUAAUUAUAUUUCCAAACAUAAUCUUUUCUAAUCAUCCCAUUUUGUUUUGUUUAAAAAUAACCUGUGGGUUUCUAAGACAGGCACAAUUAUCUUUCAUCUCAGCUCCAAGAUACCAUCCUUCCAGAAAAUGAUUUGGGGUGGGGGGAAACAAACUCAGAGGUCACUUUUCUUUUUCUUUCCUUGAAAAUCCUCACUCUAAUUGCAAAUAAAUAUACUAGCAAGGAACUGCCUAAGUUUAGCUGCUAGGUUUUUAAAGCAAGAUAAGUGGGAAAGCACUGAAUUUGUAGUAAUAUUUAACAACUCAUCCACGCAGUAUUAAUACAUAGUGAUUUUCAGCGGUACAUAGACAAGGCUAAUUUCAAUUCAACAAACUUUUAUUGAGCGCCUAAAAUACGCCGAGGACUCUGCUAAGUGUUGGGGGCACCAGGGUGAAGAUGAUAAAGUUCUCGACUUACAAAGCUUAGUUUCUGGAGAAGACAAACAGUAAAUAAGCACUUUUAAUAAGUUACGCUCAAAUUGGCAUGAGAACAUGGAAGAGGUGGGGUGGUGAAUUCUUA
rnacentral:lncRNA from 1 species